CCCCCGCCUCCCCUGGGCGGUCAGUCAUUCGGCAGCACAAAGACCAGUUUGGGCUGCGCCUCCAAGUGACGCUGGUGACGCUGGAUGCGCGCUUCUUCCAGCUUUCCACCCGGCGCGGCAGGGUGCUGCGGCUGCGGGGAGGAUGGGUGUUCCUGAAUCCACCUGGAACACUUGGGAAGACAAACGUCGGCCGUUCCUUCUCCUUCAGAACAAGUCUGGGCCAGCUGGGACUGACCAGAAACCGCAAGCGGAGGAGACGCAGGCACAGGGAUUGAGCCCCAAAGGAGGGCGAGACCUGCCACCCGUGCACCCGAGCAGCGCAGUCUGACCAGCACUCUGCUGGGUCAGGGUGGAGGGAAGCACUGGCCAGUUACCUCCUCCCACAGGCCCAGCACUGCCUCCCACCAGCUCUGCCCUGGGACCACUCAGGGUGCCCAGCACCUGUCCAACAUGCCUGCCCCUCCACCUGCUCCUCAGUGAUUCUGCAUCCCCUUCUCCCCCCAGACCUCCUGCUUGUUCAUGUGACACUCUUGAACACUGUUCUACGCCCAGAAAGGGCCAAACCCAUCUCAGAUAACAGGACCAAAAAA